rnacentral:lncRNA from 1 species
AUGGCGAGGGACGGCAGCGGAAAGGAUGAACGGGAGAGGGCUGAUCUCCCGCUUCCCCUGCCGCGGCCUUCCCCUUCUCCCUCCUCUCCCCCUCCUCGGCUGGUGGUGGCCGGGGAAGCCAGGGUCCCCCUGGCCAUUUGGCCGCCCAGAACCUCAGCGCUCACCCACCACGUCCCCGGGGUGGCAUCGGCCAUGGGGGCGGUGGCGGGACGGGGGGGACGCGGUGACGGCCACCUGGCCCUGGCUGACAUCAGCGCUGAUGCCGGCGCGGGGCGCUUAAUGGCAAUCCGCCGUCAGCGAGUUCCCACUUUCCUGGGUCGCUGCGUUAUUGCAUCGGGUCCGCUGCGUUAUUGCAUCGGGUCCGUUGCGUUAUUGCAUCGGGCUCGCUUAACCCGACGGCGGCUGGGGAUCGAUAGAUGGCCGCGUGUCUUCAUGAUCGAUCCGCUGCUCACAAACGCGCCGGCCCCUUGCUCGCGCUCGCUCUGUGCGCGUGGCGCGGGUCGUGCAGGAUCCCAAAGGCGCUGCGCUUUGACGAGGGGUGUCGAGGGCACUGGCUUUGCUCCCCGACCCAGCAGUUUUUGCCUGUUUUUGGCAGAGAUGCCGGUCCCCCGGCUGGCGGGGGGUCCUCCGCGCCCACCCCACCCGUGCCAGCACCGCCGCCGUGGCGGAGGGCCUGCCCCAGCCGUCCGUCCCGCUGCUUUAUUUCUAUGGCAACAUUUCUCCCGAAAAGCUCCAGCGGGAGCCUGGCGCUGUGUGAAAACGAGGGAGGCGGCACCCCCCACGCCGUCCCCUGCCAAAGACACCAAGAAAAGACCCUGGCCCCUCUCCCUGGCCAGUCCCGAUGCAACAAGCAUCCCGUGCCUGUGCGGCAUCCCCUCCGCCCUGCCCCUGCCUGCCCUCCGCUGCCUGUUCCCUGCCUUCAUCCCCUCUUCUUCCUCCCCUGCUUCCCCCUCGGCCAGGUCACCGUUUUGGGGAGCUGUCCCCUCCUAUGCACUUUGCCAGAGCCUCUGUGCCUUGCCCCCUUCCCACCGCAACGCGCACGGCUUCUCACCCUCUCCGUCCAUCCCGGCCUGCAUCACCCUUUGCGCAGAGAAAAAGGGAAUUGCGGGAAAAGGGAAUUAUGGAAAAAUAAAGAAAAAGGGGCUUCAAUAG